UGAACCGCCGUGCGCCGCCAUUUAACCUCCCUACCUAACGUGUACCCAGUGUGAAAGUCUACGGAAUACUCUCGGUUUCUGUUUGUGCUUUUGUGUUUCACUUGGUGUCUCGGGACUCAAGUACACAAGAGAGGACUUGCUAACCAUCAGAGAGCCUUCUGACUUUUUUUCGACAGCUCUCGCCAACUCGCUGAAGCUUUUUCCAAAGUUUCUAGUCGGCGCACUCUUAAAAACCUCACGACGAAGCGGCUCGCGGUCUGCGAUACAAGUCCGACAAGUCGAAAGCGGGGACAUCGUCUAACGCUUCCGACGAAAGACUUUGGACAUUCUGCAGCUCUGUGCUUCACGGAGACUUGGCCUUGUGGACGAUGGUCCGACGCUGCUAUCCCGCUCGACCGGCCGGUCUCAACCUCCGUCGUGCUGAUGUGUCGCUGAGCUAAGCUAACAAGCCUUUUCGAUACUCUUUUCGGAAGGCCAACAUUACAGUUAAGUCACUUGAAAGAUAUAAGAAUUUCGUGAAAUACUAGAUUUGUUUAUUCUUUUGUCUUUCGGCAAUUGUCAUCAAAUUUUAAACAAAUAAACAUUUCGCUUUGCUUGUGGUGAACUAAUACACAGGUUUUACUUUUUGAAAAUAAAAUGGAAUAAAUGGAGUUUGCUUCGAUUAUUAAAAAAAAUAAUAUUCCACCGCCUUCCGUUUUCCAUGUUAGCAUACAGAUAAGUGCUCUUCCUUUGUGAUUUCUGUCACAUAGAGUAAAAGAUGAAGGGCACAAUACUGCGCCUUUGUUAUGCAGUUCUGAGUCCCAUGAUGUGUGUAUGCCAGGUAGCCCAAUAGUCAGUCUGGGCUAGGGAUCGCAAAAAAACCGCUUACUUUCAUAACCGGUUUUAACCGAACAGCUGUUGCAAAAAAAAACGAUUAACCGGUUUUAAAACCGGUACCAUUGUGGUGUUUACAUAAUUCACCCGCGGGACCUCGAGUAGGGGUGCGGGGUUCCGCACGGACUGUUUUUGUUGUUGCUCCUCCGGAGUGACAAGUUCACAGAGUUCCCCCCGUUAUGCGAGUAGUGUUUUGAUGUGUGCCAAUAAAACAAGUUUUGUUCCUGUGUCCGACACUCCGCCUCCGACUCCUUUUCUCCGGCGCUACACCAUCGAGCGUUAAUUUACUCUGCGGUAAUGGGGUAGUUUGUAUACAAUAUUGACAAACAAGCUUGUUGAAUGUGGCUUUCAACAAUGCACUCGUUGUUAUUGAACAAUGAGCUGCUGAAUUAAAUUUCACACGAUCGCCGACAGAGCUAGGCGGCCCGUGACAGUAGACGGCCAUCUUUGGAAGGGGGCUGGGGGUUGUUCCAGCUGCAACUACAAUUUUCCUGGUGGGAGUUCUUGAGCUGUGACAUUGAAGACAAACAAAGUCAGAUAAAUAUCCGCUGUCAAAGGUUCUCCCUCAUCAUACUACCAGUUUAUCUUCCCUCCUGAAGUGUUCAAGACCCCCCUCCUCAAAUCCUAGAUUAUAGAACUGUGGUUUGGUGUUUUGAUGGGGAACAGUUUGUGGCUGCAAGUAGAGCUCCGUCGUGGCUAUUAGGGCAGCUAAAACGGGCUCCGGCUCUUUUGGCAGUCGUCCCGCGAAGAAGCCUGAGCCGGGAGGGGUGCUUGCGUUUGAUGCGGAAGUGAUAAAGACGGAGCCCCUCGCUGCCAACUUCCUCUGAGUCACGAGGCGUGGACCCGAGGAAGCGCUUGCUAAAUGGCCCGAAGGAGAAGAAAAAAAAAAGAGAGAGAGAGAGAGAGAGAGAAAACACAAUGGCAGCAAGACAGGAGAUAUAUGAUGCUUUGCGCUGCGAUUGUUGGCUUGGAUGACUGAGAAGAGAAACUUUAAUGAGCGCCGGCCUAUUCUGGUCACAGCUGGGGGAAAACAUCAUAUAGUGGCACUCGCAUGUUCUUUCCCACUCUGCUCAUCCACGCAAACUAUGUUCCACUGCUGCUGAUGAGCAGGGCAGUAGGGCAGCGUCCCUGCAGUAUUUUCGUAUUGUAGCUUUCAGAAGAUGGAAAAUACUUCAAUGUGGCCUCAGCCGCGUGCCCUUGACACUUCAACGCGUUGAAAUCGAUACGAUUAGCAACAGAAAGCGAAGAGUGAUGAGUCAUGAUUGUCAAAGGUAUUUAUUGACACUGGCGAUAUCCGUAGGGACUCCUGCGCAGUCACAAGAUCCAAAUACCGAGAAUACAUCCACUGUCCUGCAUUUACAACACAGAAUGCCAACAAGUGAGGUCUUCAUUUAUUCUAUAAGAUGUGGUGUCAAAUAAAAGAAGCCAUAUACAGUAAAGUAUUAGAAACAGCUAUAAAUAUGAUGAAGCGUUAUUUGCAACUACUGCAAACUCCGUUGAUUAUAAGAGAUAAAAAUGACAUUUUGGGAUAUAUUUGGCGCAUCUGCAGUGUAGCCGAAACCCACAAAAAUCCUCUAUUCUAUGCAAGAGCAAAGAAAAUGCUCCAGUCACCCACGGACUGGCUCCCCCUUCCGACAAUUGUACCACGUUUAAAGGGAAUGAAAGGAGACGAUUUCAUUUGUGGCUAAUGAAGUCGGGUGCGUUCACGGCCACAGCAGCGCAGAAAUUUGUAUUUUUUUUUUAAACACGCCAGCUUCACACAUCUGCAAAAUUCUGAAAAAUGGGUCGAACGCGCCUCCGCAGUUUUGUCACAUCAGCCUUCUCGGAUUUGGGCCGGUCACAAAAAUAAAGACCUGUGUGUGUAUGUAAAUGAAGAAACAGAAGAUUGGCCGUGGCCAGGAAACUGCUCUGGGCGGUGCCACCUCUGACACCUGUCACAGCUGUUUUGCAUUCGGCACUGUAAUUAGACCAGGCGUUUAAAGGUCAAGUGUCAUGAAAUGG